ensembl:lncRNA
CCCGAUAAUGAUGCUUGGCCGCAGCAUCACUUUGGAGAUUAAAAGCAAGAUGCUGAAUUUCAAUCAAGACCCAGUUUAAUGGGUCGGUCUGAGGGAUGAUCACUCUGUCUCCUUUGGCAGAGGAGGGAGAGAGAGAGAGAGAGAGAGAGAGAGAGAGAGAGGAAGAGAGAGGUUAAAGAAAGGAGAGGGAGAGAGAGGUUAAAGAGAGGAGAGAGAGAGAUAGGUUAAAGAAAGGAGAGGGAGAGAGAGAGGUUAAAGAAAGGAGAGAGAGAGGUUAAAGAAAGGAGAGAGAGAGAGAGAGGUUAAAGAAAGGAGAGAGAGAGAGAGGUUAAAGAAAGGAGAGAGAGAUAGAGAGGUUAAAGAAAGGAGAGAGAGA